rnacentral:rRNA from 1 species
GAUGAACGCUGGCGGCGUGCAUAACACAUUCAAGUCGAACGGUGAGCUUCUUCGGAAGCGGAUCAGUGGCGGACGGGUGAGUAACGCGUGAGCAAACCUGCCUACGAAUGGGGGAUAACACAGGGAAACUUGUGCUAAUACCGCAUAACAUAUACGGAUCGCAUGGUUUGUAUAUCAAAGGGAAACCGGUCGUAGAUGGGCUCGCGUCUGAUUAGGUAGUUGGUGAGGUAACGGCCCACCAAGCCAACGAUCGGUAGCCGAACUGAGAGGUUGAACGGCCACAUUGGAACUGAGAAACGGUCCAGACUCCUACGGGAGGCAGCAGUGGGGAAUAUUGGGCAAUGGGCGAAAGCCUGACCCAGCGACGCCGCGUGAGGGAAGACGGUCUUCGGAUUGUAAACCUCUUUCAGCAGGGAAGAAGCAAGUGACGGUACCUGCAGAAGAAGUCACGGCUAACUACGUGCCAGCCGCCGCCGUAAA